CAGCAGCCGCGGGAAAACAGAGGGUGCGAGCGUUAAUCGGAUUUACUGGGCGUAAAGCGUGCGUAGGCGGCUUCUUAAGUCGGAUGUGAAAUCCCUGAGCUUAACUUAGGAAUUGCAUUCGAUACUGGGAAGCUAAAGUAUGGGAGAGGAUGGUAGAAUUCCAGGUGUAGCGGUGAAAUGCGUAGAGAUCUGGAGGAAUACCGAUGGCGAAGGCAGCCAUCUGGCCUAAUACUGACGCUGAGGUACGAAAGCAUGGGGAGCAAACAGGAUUAGAUACCCCAGUAGUCCCUGUCUCUUAUAC
rnacentral:rRNA from 1 species